AUGUCCUCCUACACCCCAGGAAGGAGAGGUCUGGUCUUCGCAGAUCACAUGGCCCGGGGCUUCAAACCGCCCGGCUCCAAAUUUUAUCGGGAUGUGUUAGCCAACUUUCAACUCCGUCCACAGGAUAUUGGCCCCAACUCCGUCACCAAUCUAUGUCACUUUCAAGUACUUUCUGAGGCAUACCUUCAAGACGAGCCUUCAGUUGAGUUAUUUAGAGAUCUCUUUCAUCUGAACCGCCGUACUGAAUUCACUGACGGCCCUAAUACCGAACUUGGCGGUAUGGCCAUUCAGAAAAGGAAAGAAAUCACCUAUCCCCACGUCAAACUCCAUACUCACCCCAAGGAAUGGAACGCAACUUGGUUUUAUUGCAAGGAUACCUCUCCUGACAAUGAAAAUCCCUUGCCUGGCUUCCGUCCGGAACGGCUCAGCAACACUCACCCUUUUCCACAAAGGCUAAGCGCCAAGGAGAGAAUUAAAUACGCUCCUCAACUAUCCAAGCUCCGGGCCUUCAUGGCCAAUGGUUUAACAGGAAUAGACCUUGCACGCUGCUGGAUAUCAUGGAGCAUUUUGCCUCUAAGCCGGCGCCCAAAUUUGAUGUGCGAGUAUACUGAUAGUGUCGAUGACCCACUCCGACAUACUAAAAUCCAGCUCCCUGAUGACGAAGUCACAGAAUCUGUGAAAAAGAUGCUGAAUGAACCGGAGCACCUCUGUGCUCAAACCGGUCUGCCUCCUUACUGCACCACCAACAAACCGCCAGCGGGUGAUAAUCCAUUUUGGAGCAAGAAACUUCCUCAAGACAAAACGGAAAAGGCAGGACGGCCAACCCGGCCCAAGACCAAGGUUAUCAAGAAGCCAGCUCAUAAGAGAAAAACCACCGCUUCAUCUGACCCAGCCAUUGACGAUGAUGUGGGUAAUCCGGAUCUUGAGGAUGACGCUGAAGCCAGCAAUGCGGGUUUUGUUGAGACCCAGCAACACGAAGCUUGCCGCACAACCCGGCACAGUGGCCGGGUAGUUACCUCUGCCGGUUUACCAAACAGUCCGGUUCGAAAACGCCGCUCCGAGGUCACUUCUCAUUCAUCGUCUGGUGAAUCAUCGGCCACCCAGCUACCACCUUUGAAAACAGUUGCUGGGGCUAAACCGAAACCAAGCAAGAAGGCCCGCCUGGAUAGAGCGGCUGAAGAAGAUGUGGCCCCAGAACAUGACCAAGCACCUGAUCAUGAAGUGUUUACUUGUGAAGAUAUCCCCAAUGAUCCUCCUCUGCAAGACGACGUUAUCCCUGAAGAAGGUCCUAUUCAUAUUCCAGCCUCUGCUGAUCCGCCUGCCAGCUCUGUCCAGAUUGAGAAAUCCCACACUCCUGCUGACAAACCGGCCGCACCAACCCAAACCGGCGAGUCAAAAGAUGAUGAUGUUGUGAUUACCGGCGUAGGCCGCUCUGAACCUAGGAAUCCUGCCACCCUUACCAGGCAUACCAUCAAAGAGGAUUCUUCCCCUUUGAACAAAGGAAAAUGGGGUGUUGAAUUAGAGACAUACGCCAAUCUGAAUGCUCAAGAUCUUCACUCUGGCUACUUAAACCGGCUUUAUACUAGCCGUGACUGUGAAGCUGGCUUGGUCAAAAUGAUGAGGGAUAAAUUUGAGGCUGAAGUGAAAAUGAAGGAGGACCAGAUUGCCGAUUUGCAGGAGGCCCUAAAGACCCAGCAGGCUGAAACAGAUAAGGCAAAGCAAGAAUUGACCAGCGCUUUGAGCACUGCUGAACGGCUGAAAGAAGGCUUCAAGAAAGAGCGGGCUGACUGGGCCACUGAGAAGGCCGGUUUAACCAAAAGAGCAGAAAAUGCUGAAGCGGCCCUUAAACCGGUGGUGGAUGAACUGACGGCCGUACAGCGGCAAAUACACUCUAUGACUGCUGCAAUCUUUGGCACACGUAUUGGGCACUUAGGAAAUGAUGUGCGGAAGAAAUUGAAAGCUGCCUACACCUUGGUGGAACAAUUGUAUACCGGAGCCCAACGGAUCAUCACCACAGCUUCCUAUAACAACCCGGCGCCCUCUUUAAUCCAGGACACUCUUAGCAAGCUGUCAAUGCUUCCAGCCCGGAUUGAGGAGCUGAAAAAAUCCGCUGCCCGAACCGGAGCCAUCAAUGCCUUAAUCCGGGCAAAGGCAUGGGUGCCCGACUUUGAUCCUGUGGAAGCAGCUCAAGGCUAUCCCAGUCUGAAAGAAGAUGGCUCUGAAUUCAACGAAGAGGAUUUAAGGGCCAUAAAUCGUGCAGUGCGCCCGCUGGCUUGCCAGCUAGCUGAAGAGGCAGAUUUGACGCAUUAUCAAGCGGGAUAUAAUAAUCAAAACAAGCGAGUGCCGGCCCCAACUGUUGAAGCGGAGAAUCUGAUUCCUCCAACCCGUAAGCACACUUACGCCCCUGAUAUUGAACCGUCUUCCCUGAUCCAUGAAGAGGCUGUUUUCCAAGCUUUAAUGGGAAUCGACUGGACCACUGUUGAUUUCCAGCCAAUGGGUAGAGACGAGGAAGCUGAAGCGGCGGAGGAUGAGGAGCAGGCUUGA
rnacentral:rRNA from 1 species